UUUUUUAUCUUUAAAUUUUGAGAAAUGCUCUGAUUAAAUGAGAAAUCUGAUUUGUUUGUAUAAAAUGCCGAUUCACAGAUGCUUGGGUUAAUUUAAAAUAAUUUAUGUAAUUCUUUCCAAAACGUGCUGUAUAAACGCACGAUACAAAAAUAUCAAUCUUUAUUUCAUUGAAAUGAUGUAACUUUAUUUUAAAAAUGAACGCAUUCGCUCAACUAAUAUCACAAUAAAACGCACAUUUUAGUUUUCUCUGUGAAAUAUGAGACAAAAUGUGUGGACCCGAGUCAAACUACACUGCGUCAUUUUUAUCACUUCCGUGCACUCCCGACUAUGCAGUCCGUCCUAAAAUCAUAUUCGUUUUGAAUCAAAGUAACUAAACAUGUUUCAAAUUUUCUCGCCCAUAUUUGUUUUCUACCUGUUAUUCGGCUCUACUAGUGUUUUGUCUGCGGAGUUUUGUGGGCUGUCAGCAUAUGUGGAAAAGCAAGAAUUCUCGUGGAGGUUUGCUGGUAAAGCAUUCAACUGCAUAGCCAAGUGUAAAUCGAGUUAUGCAGCAAGGCUAAACGAACUGUCGAGGUCAAAAUACUUUGAAAGAGUGUUUACUCCGUUCCGAACGACCAUUGAUUGCGUUCGAGAGGUGACUGAAUAAUUUAAAACGUAUUUAAUAAUAUAAAAAUUGCGUUUUUUAUAUCGCAGGAAAGGCUUGUUGCGUCAUUUUGUGCAGUAAAAUGUAGAGUGGUUAAUUUUCAACUUACACGAUGUUACUCCAGCAAUUUUAUAUUUCAGUAAGGGGGUUGACAUUGAAGCAAAUUUCGGAUUUGCCCUUGUUUUAUUUUCCUCGGCUAGUGCUGGUUUGAUUGAUUAUUAAUUCACAAGAAAAAAUUGCAUGAAAUCACUCGUAUAGCUUUCAAGAUUUGAGGCGGAAAAAUUUUGCAGCAUUCAUGGUUUAAGCUUGGGCGUUGAAAAGUCUUUGAUUGAACAAUACGCAACUGGUUUGAUUUAUUAUUUUAACAAACUGCUGCUAACACUCACUAACAGAUAUUUUAGAUGCAAAAAUUUGGAUGCGUACAGUGGAGACAGUUAAUUCUUCUUCUAACUUACCUGGAAACCCCACUAUAAUGUGCAAAGUUCUUCAGUAGUAAACCCUCACAUUGAAAAAUAUUUUAAUUAGUACAAGCGAUAUUUUUAGCCGAAAUAAAGCUUUUGAAGAAAAAAAUGAAAACUGCAAAAAUAAUAAUAAUUUCGUAUGCGUCUUGCCAGAAAAAUGUCAUUUGAACAAAUGUUCAUCUAC